CCUACGGGAGGCUGCAGUGAGGAAUAUUGGUCAAUGGACGCAAGUCUGAACCAGCCAUGCCGCGUGCAGGAAGACGGCUCUAUGAGUUGUAAACUGCUUUUGUACGAGGGUAAACGCAGAUACGCGUAUCUGUCUGAAAGUAUCGUACGAAUAAGGAUCGGCUAACUCCGUGCCAGCAGCCGCGGUAAUACGGAGGAUUCAAGCGUUAUCCGGAUUUAUUGGGUUUAAAGGGUGCGUAGGCGGUCGGAUAAGUUAGAGGUGAAAGCCCGAGGCUCAACUUCGGAAGUGCCUCUGAUACUGGUCGGCUAGAGAGGAGUUGCGGUAGGCGGAAUGUAUGGUGUAGCGGUGAAAUGCUUAGAGAUCAUACAGAACACCGAUUGCGAAGGCAGCUUACCAAGCUACUUCUGACGCUGAGGCACGAAAGCGUGGGGAGCAAACAGGAUUAGAUACCCCAGUAGUC
rnacentral:rRNA from 1 species